rnacentral:rRNA from 1 species
CCUUAGACAUUCCAGACCUAGCGCAGCAGCACUGGAAGGACGCUUCUAGAGGCUUGAUCCCGGACCGUUGGUAGUUCCGGGCUAGAAGGAGGCUGGGCCACUUGGAAGAGUGGCAUAAAGGCUGAUCUCGGGGAACGGCGGUCUUCGGACCAAUGGAACUCAAGCUGAUAGGGGCCGCGAAAAGCUCCAAAGGCAUAUGCUGACGCUAUCCGUACUGCAAACCGACACAGGUAGGUGAGUCGAGGAGACUCAGGCGUUCGAGAGAACUCUCGUUAAGGAACUAGGCAAAUGGGCCCCGUAACUUAGGAAUAAGGGGCGCCCUCGCAAGGGGGCCGCAGCAAAGCAGCCGAGGCGACUGUUUACCAAAAACACAGGUCUCUGCAAAGGUGAAAACCGAUGUAUAGGGGCUGACACCUGCCCAAUGCCAGUAGAUUAAGCCGAGAUGUUAGGGGCAACCCAAAGCAUUGAAGUGAAGUCCUGGUGAAUGGCGGCCGUAACUCUAACGGUCCUAAGGUAGCGAAAUUCCUUGUCGGCUAAAUACCGACCCGCAUGAAAGGUGUAACGACUUCGGCACUGUCUCAACGAGAAGCUCGGUGAAAUUGUAGUGCCCGUGAAGAUGCGGGCUACGCGCAGUAGGACGGAAAGACCCCGUGGAGCUUUACUACACCUUCGGAUUGUUGUUUGGGUGUAGAUGUAGAGCGUAGGUGGGAGCUUAGGCACCAAUGGAACACCACCCUUUUGCAUCUGGACAACUAACUUGAGCCCUUAUCGGGUUUGAGGACACUCCGUGGCGGGUAGUUUGACUGGGGCGGUCGCCUCCUAAAAUGUAACGGAGGCGUACAAAGCUGCACUCAGGCUGGUCAGAAAUCAGCCGUUGAGCAUAUAGGUAUAGAGUGUGGUUGACUGUGAGACAAACAAGUCGAGCAGGUACGAAAGUAGGUCUAAGUGACCCUCUGAUUGUGCGUGGGCACGUCAGGGUUCAUCGGAUAAAAGCUACCCCGGGGAUAACAGGCUGAUCUUGCCCGAGCGCUCACAGCGACGGCAUGGUUUGGCACCUCGAUGUCGGCUCGUCGCAUCCUGGGGCUGCACAGGGUCCCAAGGGUUCCGGAGUUCACGGAUUAAAGCGGCACGCGAGCUGGGUUCAGAACGGCGUGAGCCAGUUCGGUCCCUAUCCACUGCGCGCGUAGGAAAUUUGAGGGGAGUCGCUCCUAGUACGAGAGGACCGGAGUGAACUGACCUAUGGUGUACCAGUUGUCCCGCCAGGGGCAUACGCUGGGUAGCCAAGUCGGGAAAGGAUAAGCGCUGAAAGCAUCUAAGCGCCAAGCCCACCCCAAGAUGAGAUUUCCCAUCGUAAGAGUAAGGUCCCAUGAAGACUACAUGGUGAUAGGACGCAUGUGUAAGCACAGUAAUGUGUUCAGCUGAGCGUUACUAAUUGACCGAGGGCUUAA